AUGGUGGACGGUUCUGUUCAGGACAUAGCUAACCUGAAGUUCCUCCUCCUGUGCUUACAAUAGAUGUCGGGGCUAUCCAUCAACUUCGAUAAGAGCAAAGUGAUGGUUCUUGGGUAUUCCCCGGAGGAAGCACGGGCUAUUGCAGACCGACUGAAUUGUCGGUUGGGUUCUUUCCCCACGACCUACCUGGGGAUCCCCAUUAGUGAUUCGCGCCUCACCGUGGCGGAUCUUCGCCCCACGGUGACCCGUAUGCAACAUCGAGUUGAGCCCUGGAAAGGGCGCUGGUUGUCGAAGGCUGCUCGCGUGAUCCUCAUCAACUCCUCGCUUGCCAGCCUUCUUUGGUUCCUCAUGAGCUUCUAUAGCCUCCAUGAGACGCUUCAUCGGGAAAUCGCCAAGUACCAAUCCAGAUUCUUCUGGGCUGGUGAGGGUGAUAAGCAGAAGUAACAUAUGGUGAGCUGGCCCGAUAUUUGCAAACCCAAGGACCAGGGCGGUCUUGGGAUCUUGUCCUCCCGGCGCAUGAACAUUACCCUCCUGACCCGUUGGCUCUGGCGCAUUGCUAAUGGCGAUGGAGGCCUUUGGCUC
rnacentral:rRNA from 1 species